rnacentral:tRNA from 1 species
AUUUAAAUAGUUUAAAAAAUAUAACACUUUCAUUGUUAAGUUGGAAUUAUUUUCCUUUAAAUG